AGUGAACGCUGGCGGUAGGCCUAACACAUGCAAGUCGAACGGCAGCACAGUAAGAGCUUGCUCUUACGGGUGGCGAGUGGCGGACGGGUGAGGAAUACAUCGGAAUCUACUUUUUCGUGGGGGAUAACGUAGGGAAACUUACGCUAAUGCCGCAUACGACCUACGGGUGAAAGCAGGGGAUCUUCGGACCUUGCGCGAUUGAAUGAGCCGAUGUCGGAUUAGCUAGUUGGCGGGGUAAAGGCCCACCACGGCGACGAUCCGUAGCUGGUCUGAGAGGAUGAUCAGCCACACUGGAACUGAGACACGGUCCAGACUCCUACGGGAGGCAGCAGUGGGGAAUAUUGGACAAUGGGCGCAAGCCUGAUCCAGCCAUACCGCGUGGGUGAAGAAGGCCUUCGGGUUGUAAAGCCCUUUUGUUGGGAAAGAAAAGCAGCAGGUUAAUACCCCGCUGUUCUGACGGUACCCAAAGAAUAAGCACCGGCUAACUUCGUG
rnacentral:rRNA from 1 species